UCAUCCUCACAAUCUUCCUAUUGAUAAUGUAUCAUUAGAAGAAUAUGUUAGAAAAAGUCUAUCAUAAAGAGGAUAACACAUUUAAGUCAUAAUUCUUCAAAUUACAAAUUGUUGUAUGAAGAAAUAAGAGUUGCUUUGAACAACCCUUAGUCAAUGCAAACACUAGUGCUUGUUUCUUUGUUAAAUGAACAAAGAACUUGAGAAGAAAGCACAAGGGCAUGGACACUUUAUGUGCCAUGAUUCUUCACUUACAAAUUGUUGUAUGAAGAAAUGAGAGUUGCCUUGGACAACUCUUGAAAGUUUUUAAUUAUGUUUAGAACAUAAUGGUUGGUUGACAAAAAUAGUCCAUCAACAUGGACUUAUGAUGAUUUUGAAUCAUUGAGUGUUGAAGUGUUAAACCACUUAACGAGACGGAAACUAGGCUAGGACUUCACCUUUAUGUCCCUAACCUAAUGGUUCACUAAGUUUAUUGUAAACUAUGUAGUGAACAAUAAACACAUGCUCUCCAAAAUGUUUG
rnacentral:lncRNA from 1 species